GCAGUCGAGCGGUAACAGAUCCAGCUUGCUGGAUGCUGACGAGCGGCGGACGGGUGAGUAAUGCAUAGGAAUCUGCCCGAUAGUGGGGGAUAACCUGGGGAAACCCAGGCUAAUACCGCAUACGUCCUACGGGAGAAAGGGGGCUUCGGCUCCCGCUAUCGGAUGAGCCUAUGUCGGAUUAGCUAGUUGGUGAGGUAACGGCUCACCAAGGCCACGAUCCGUAGCUGGUCUGAGAGGAUGAUCAGCCACAUCGGGACUGAGACACGGCCCGAACUCCUACGGGAGGCAGCAGUGGGGAAUAUUGGACAAUGGGGGGAACCCUGAUCCAGCCAUGCCGCGUGUGUGAAGAAGGCCCUCGGGUUGUAAAGCACUUUCAGCGAGGAAGAACGCCUAGCGGUUAAUACCCGCUAGGAAAGA
rnacentral:rRNA from 1 species